AAAAUAUUUUUUGCAAUAUUUCGGUGCAAAUUGGUACAUGUUAGAAUAUUACUUCAUCCGAACAAAUUACGAGAGACAACCAACAUUACAUUCUACCCAUUCGUAGUAUUACUUCAUCUCACCACCGCGGCGUUGUGAAGUGACGAGGCCAUCGAGGGCUAUCGAGAGAAAAAACAAGAAUAGAUCUUCAAUGAUCAAGAGCGAAUGACAGAGGUCUAACCUAAGAGAUGAGACUCUUCGACAUCGAGCUUUGCUCGGAGAGAGACAUACUAGAGAUUAUAUUAAACUAUAAAACCUAAACGGUGUAUUAGUGAAUCCUCUGCAAAACCUAUAAAUCCAACAAGUUAUAGGCUCCAGUGCACGCUUAACUGCGCAACGAGGUGAACACUAAUUCUGAAAAUCUGUUGUGUACACAACGGGAAAAAUAUCAAUUGAGAUUAGAUAAUGUUAGAGAUUUCACAUACAACACCUAGAAGUUUGGAUGUAGAUUUAGAGAUUAUACAUACAUCGCUUGGAGCAUGU